rnacentral:tRNA from 1 species
ACAGAAGCCGGGAUAGCUCAGU